CUUCUCCGGUGCGGAAGGCAAGCGAGGACCGCCCCUUUUCGCCACAUGCUGGCUGCUUCGGGCGACCACGGAUGACCUCAAGGCGCCCCCGGAUUUUAGGAAAGGGACUGCAAUUCCCAGAAUGCAUUGGCGGUUUAAGGCUUUCACUUCCUAGGGCCAGGGAGAGCAGGUUCUGAGGUACAACGGCAAAAACGUCCGGAGCAACAGCAAGGAAAAGUACGGCGUACGGUUCUGUAGCACCUUGUUCAGGGGUAAAGACGUUCUUCAUCUCAUUGACUUUUUUGUUCUGGUAAUACUAUUUCUUGCCAGUAAAAAUACGUUUCUCCAUCUCUCUCCGCAGUAUUCGCCACAUUUCAAGGAAAUUAUUUAAUUCGGUAAAAUUAAUGAGGAAAGUAUUAAUCUUCUAAACAAGUUACGCGGCAGAGGCUGGUAUUAUCCCCAAUUUACAAAUGAAGAAACUGAGUUUUCUGUGAUUAAGGUCAUUUGGGUAUCACAAAAAUCUUAAUUUUGAAAAGCAUACUGGUAUCAUCUUGUGUUACAGAGGAGAAAAGGGAAGUCUAUGGCUCUAUUUGAUUCUAUGACUAUGUGUUUUCCUCAGAAAUUGACUAUCCCAGUGGCCUGAUGUAUUCCAGUAAUACAAGUGGGGAAAGAGGGAUUUGAAUGGAACUAAGACAGUCUUUAUCCCUUUCUCCCAAUCACGGGCCAGAUUCUUUUUUUUUUUUUCUUUCUUUCUUUCUUUCUUUCUUUCUUUCUUUCUUUCUUUCUUUCUUUCUUUCUUUCGAUAGUCUCACUAAACUGCCCUGGCAGGAUUCGAACUUUUGAUCCUCCUGCCUCACCUUCCAGAGUAGCUGGGAUUACAGGUAUGCACCACCACUCCCGUGUAAGACCGAGGGCCUUACCAAAUGCUCCGAGGAGCUGACUGCAGUGAAGCACACCCGGGGAUCCCAGCGGUGCCUCCAAAAUGUAAGACCGAGGGCCUUACCAAACGCUUCGAGGAGCUGACUGCAGCGAAGAACACCCGG
rnacentral:lncRNA from 1 species